rnacentral:rRNA from 1 species
GACGAACGCUGGCGGCGUGGAUUAGGCAUGCAAGUCGAACGGUAUCAUCCUUUCGGGGGUGAGAGAGUGGCGAACUGGUGAGUAACACGUAGGUUAUCUACCCUCAAGACGGGGACAACCCAGGGAAACUUGGGCUAAUACCGGAUGUGAGCAACUUUUUAGUUGUUUGAAAGGUGGCGUAAGCUGUCGCUUGGGGAUGAGCCUGCGUCCUAUUAGUUAGUUGGUGAGGUAACGGCUCACCUAGGCAAUGAUAGGUAGGCGGCCUUAACGGGUGGUCGCCCACACUGGGAUUGAGAUACGGCCCAGACUCCUACGGGAGGCAGCAGUCGAGAAUAGUCUACAAUGGUCGGAAGACUGAUAGUGCGACGCCGCGUGAACGAUGAAUCCCUUCGGGGUGUAAAGUUCUUUUAUAUGUGAGCAGUGCUUCUUAUAUUAACAGUAUGGGGAGAGAGAUAUUAGCAUAUGAAUAAGCAACGGCUAACUCCGUGCCAGCAGCCGCGGU